CCUACGGGGGGCAGCAGUAGGGAAUCUUUCACAAUGGGCGAAAGCCUGAUGGUGCAACGCCGCGUGCAGGAUGAAGGCCUUCGGGUUGUAAACUGCUUUUAUAAGCGAGAAAUAUGAUGGUAACUUAUGAAUAAGGAUCGGCUAACUACGUGCCAGCAGCCGCGGUCAUACGUAGGAUCCGAGCAUUAUCCGGAGUGACUGGGUGUAAAGAGUUGCGUAGGUGGCAUAAUAAGUAGCUAGUGAAAUCUGGUGGCUCAACCAUUCAGACUAUUAGCUAAACUGUUAAGCUCGAGACCGUUAGGGGUAACUGGAAUUUCUAGUGUAGGAGUGAAAUCCGAAGAUAUUAGAAAGAACACCAAUGGCGUAGGCAGGUUACUGGAACGGUUCUGACACUAAGGCACGAAGGCGAAGGGAGCGAACGGGAUUAGAUACCCUUGUAGUC
rnacentral:rRNA from 1 species